CGGGCCUUGCGCUAUUCGAGCGGCCGAUAUCUGAUUAGCUAGUUGGUGGGGUAAAGGCCUACCAAGGCGACGAUCAGUAGCGGGUCUGAGAGGAUGAUCCGCCACACUGGGACUGAGACACGGCCCAGACUCCUACGGGAGGCAGCAGUGGGGAAUUUUGGACAAUGGGCGCAAGCCUGAUCCAGCCAUGCCGCGUGUCUGAAGAAGGCCUUCGGGUUGUAAAGGACUUUUGUCAGGGAAGAAAAGGCUGUUGCUAAUAUCAGCGGCUGAUGACGGUACCUGAAGAAUAAGCACCGGCUAACUACGUGCCAGCAGCCGCGGUAAUACGUAGGGUGCGAGCGUUAAUCGGAAUUACUGGGCGUAAAGCGAGCGCAGACGGUUACUUAAGCAGGAUGUGAAAUCCCCGGGCUCAACCUGGGAACUGCGUUCUGAACUGGGUGACUAGAGUGUGUCAGAGGGAGGUAGAAUUCCACGUGUAGCAGUGAAAUGCGUAGAGAUGUGGAGGAAUACCGAUGGCGAAGGCAGCCUCCUGGGAUAACACUGACGUUCAUGCUCGAAAGCGUGGGUAGCAAACAGGAUUAGAUACCCUGGUAGUCCACGCCCUAAACGAUGUCAAUUAGCUGUUGGGCA
rnacentral:rRNA from 1 species